rnacentral:lncRNA from 10 species
UUUGAAUCAGUGGGCUGGGAAAGGCAGACCUACCCUUAAUCUAGGUGGGUACCACCUAAUCAGCUGCCAGAGUGGCUAGAAUAUAAAGCAGGCAGACAAACAUGAAAAGACUGGCCUGACCUAGCCUCCCAGCCUACAUCUUUCUCCCGUGUUAGAUGCUUCCUGCUCUCGAACAUCAGACUCCAAGUUCUUCAGUUUUGGGAUUCCUGGCUCUCCUUGCUCCUCAGCUUGCAGAUGACCUACUGUGAGACCUUGUGAUCAUAUUAAAAAUGGAGCACAGAGAGGCUGAAUUAUUUGAUUGAAGUCACACGCUGGUAAGUGGUAGAACUGCAAUUCCAACCCAGGG